CUUGAGUUAACAUCUAAAAGUGUCUAAACGACAAAACGAGGAAAAAUAAAAAAAAACUUAAAAAAGUUAUAGAAAAUAUUUUAUUGUGAUUAUACCUAUAAGUUAAACGUCACUGUAACAAAACAGUUAUUUUGUUGUCGGGAAAAACGUCUGUUUUUCUAUUUUCCGUUUUUGGCUUUUAGAUUUCAUCAAUUCGUAAAUCGAGUUCUUGUUCCAAAUUUGUCUCGGAAGAAGAAGGCUCAUCAAAUUUCUGUUCCAAAUUUCCGUUUGAAGUAGAAGGCUCAUCGAGAAACUGGCUUUCAUCUCCAUUUUCAACUUUCUUAAAGCCUCGUAGCAUUAACAUCUGAAACGAUGAAUGCAACUGUUGCAGCUUCUGCAACGAAGAGUUCGACAGUUGCAAUUUUCAUUUACCAUAUCCACUUCGUAAAAGUCAAUUUUAGACUGAGAGUGGACAAGAAAUUUUUUUGAGUCCUUUUCUGCAACUGCUUCAAAACUCAUCUCCAUUGCACGUUUGUGAAAUUUAUUUACAAGAAGAUCGCGAUGAGUAGCAGUGGGUCUUAAAACCGAAGCAACUCUUUUCCAAGACUUGUCCAAAAUGAGUUUAUGCAGAGCAUCAAGGCACGUCAAUCAUCCAAUACAAGAAUUGUGGUUAAUUCAAAAUUGUAUGGAUUGGUCCCAUGUGUUCUAUCAAGACAUAUGAUCCGGGGUCCAUAUGUGACAAGCAUAUACUUCAUUUCGCUGUUCAUGUAAGCUAAUGCAAAAUCAUCGUCUUCUAGUAUGUUGUGUUUGUGUCCAAUUUUUUUAAAAAUAAAAACA